rnacentral:tRNA from 1 species
UCCCUUGUGGCUUAGCUGGUAGAGAAUCUGCCUGCAAUGCAGCAGACCUGGGUUCAAUCCCUUGGUUGGGAA